UGCAAGUCGAGCGGUAGCACAGAGAGCUUGCUCUCGGGUGACGAGCGGCGGACGGGUGAGUAAUGUCUGGGAAACUGCCUGAUGGAGGGGGAUAACUACUGGAAACGGUAGCUAAUACCGCAUAACGUCGCAAGACCAAAGUGGGGGACCUUCGGGCCUCAUGCCAUCAGAUGUGCCCAGAUGGGAUUAGCUAGUAGGUGGGGUAACGGCUCACCUAGGCGACGAUCCCUAGCUGGUCUGAGAGGAUGACCAGCCACACUGGAACUGAGACACGGUCCAGACUCCUACGGGAGGCAGCAGUGGGGAAUAUUGCACAAUGGGCGCAAGCCUGAUGCAGCCAUGCCGCGUGUGUGAAGAAGGCCUUCGGGUUGUAAAGCACUUUCAGCGGGGAGGAAGGCGAUAAGGUUAAUAACCUUGUCGAUUGACGUUACCCGCAGAAGAAGCACCGGCUAACUCCGUGCCAGCAGCCGCGGUAAUACGGAGGGUGCAAGCGUUAAUCGGAAUUACUGGGCGUAAAGCGCACGCAGGCGGUCUGUCAAGUCGGAUGUGAAAUCCCCGGGCUCAACCUGGGAACUGCAUUCGAAACUGGCAGGCUAGAGUCUUGUAGAGGGGGGUAGAAUUCCAGGUGUAGCGGUGAAAUGCGUAGAGAUCUGGAGGAAUACCGGUGGCGAAGGCGGCCCCCUGGACAAAGACUGACGCUCAGGUGCGAAAGCGUGGGGAGCAAACAGGAUUAGAUACCCUGGUAGUCCACGCCGUAAACGAUGUCGAUUUGGAGGUUGUGCCCUUGAGGCGUGGCUUCCGGAGCUAACGCGUUAAAUCGACCGCCUGGGGAGUACGGCCGCAAGGUUAAAACUCAAAUGAAUUGACGGGGGCCCGCACAAGCGGUGGAGCAUGUGGUUUAAUUCGAUGCAACGCGAAGAACCUUACCUGGUCUUGACAUCCACAGAACUUAGCAGAGAUGGAUUGGUGCCUUCGGGAACUGUGAGACAGGUGCUGCAUGGCUGUCGUCAGCUCGUGUUGUGAAAUGUUGGGUUAAGUCCCGCAACGAGCGCAACCCUUAUCCUUUGUUGCCAGCGGUUAGGCCGGGAACUCAAAGGAGACUGCCAGUGAUAAACUGGAGGAAGGUGGGGAUGACGUCAAGUCAUCAUGGCCCUUACGACCAGGGCUACACACGUGCUACAAUGGCAUAUACAAAGAGAAGCGACCUCGCGAGAGCAAGCGGACCUCAUAAAGUAUGUCGUAGUCCGGAUUGGAGUCUGCAACUCGACUCCAUGAAGUCGGAAUCGCUAGUAAUCGUAGAUCAGAAUGCUACGGUGAAUACGUUCCCGGGCCUUGUACACACCGCCCGUCACACCAUGGGAGUGGGUUGCAAAAGAAGUAGGUAGCUUAACCUUCGGGAGGGCG
rnacentral:rRNA from 1 species